CCGACUCAUAAAAUCGACGAUGGCGGGGAAAAUUGACAGAAGGAGUCAGAAAAGUCAGAAAACAGAGAAAAAGAUGUGAGGCUGAGACAGGUUAUAGCGCUGCGAAAAACAUUUCACGUAAAACACUUUACUGUUGACAGUAUUGUGUGCUGGUUUGAUAGAUUAUGUGCAGUUUCAUGCCAAUAAAAUUGUUGCCUAGGAAUGUUAUUCAGUGGUCGCUUUCAUUCAUUUCAUUGGUCGCUAUUUCCAACCAACGGUAACCACCAAACAAGAGCUAUCAUCUGCAAAUCAAGAAACGCUUGAAUUUCAAACUACCGAUAAGCGAUGUGAGUUACGUUUAGUCAGCAUUCAAAAUUCAAGAAAUAGCGUUCCAGAAUUUAUAACAACGGAAGCAUCCAAUAUACCUUGGUGCCAAAAUUCUCUGGCAACUAAUUGGCUUCCUUCAUCUAUUUAGUGAAAAAACUGAUGCAUGUCGCCAUUCGAAACAAUGCUAAAUUAUUCAAAUAUAAACGCAUUAUUAGCUAAGGUUUUAUAUUUAUUAAAACUUUUUAUAUAUAUAAAAUUAUUCAACAUUAAACAAAUACCGUUUUAUACACAAAAUUCUGAAUCAAUAAACUAAUUUAUUAUA